rnacentral:misc_RNA from 1 species
UUGAAUUAUAAGGCGUCGAUUGUGCUGGCCUCUCGGGGCAUGUGCACGUCUUUGCCCGUUAAUCCCAACCCACCCCUGUGAACCGACCGUGUGAGGCGCUCUGUAACGGAGCCGUCUCAUGCUUUAUCAUAAACACCGUAUGUCUUUGAAUGUAAAAAAAUCUAUAUCAUCGCCUUAAAACCGCGUCGAUAAAUAAAAAGUUAAUA